AUGGAAGGGCUCCCCAGCAAAUGGAGCAAACUGGGACUUUCAGCCAGACAGUUUGCCAGACGGAUUGGGGUCACUUAUUCCAUGGCAGAGUUUGUAGUCUAUGGUCACCAGCACCCUCCCUGCCAACCCAAAGCUUCCAAGAGCAAGACCACAAAGGACCACAAAGACAUUGUGCAAGUCACAUCCCUGAAGUCAGCCCAUAUGGUGCCCAGCAAGGUGCGCUCCUCCCAAAGAUACCGUCGGGCCAUGACCAGGAGCAGGGCUGGUUUGAAGAGAUACAGACAAACUCAACCCAGGAUCAAGCUCUCAAAACAUGGUCAGGCCAGGAAAAAGUCCAAAAUUGCUAUUAUGUGCAAAGGCAAACUCUCUGCCUCCACAUGUGAGGCCAAAUCUGACAAGGGCCUCAAAUCCCCAAGUUAUACCAAACCUAGUACCAAACUCAGAUACAAGAAAUGGUCAGUCACCAAUAUGCCGCCCAGAGGGAAGUCACCUAGCUCCAGAAGGAGGUAUGUCAGAAAGCAUACUCAUAAUCCAGUGGUUUGGAAGCGGUGGUGCAGAAACAUGUCCAAGAAACUCGAGAGUGGUAGGGUUCCCCUCCAGAACAUACGAGCCCGGAGGCAACGAAAGUCCAAGACCAGGAAAGUACACUCAGCUGUACAGGUUCCCUCCAUUGUGAUCAGAGAGGAGUCGACAUUACCUUUACCUAUAGAAUGCUUGGAGUUUUCCCAGGAGCAGGGCGAACACAAUAACCUGUCCCCUGGGACCCAAGACAGGACGACCCAGAUGACAGCAACCGAAUUCAACCAGGAAACGGAAGCCAGUGAGGAGGCCUUCCAGGAGAGUGAAGAAAAGAAGCCAGCGGAUGAGGAGUGGAUGGAAGAAGGAGAAGGAGAAGGGGAAGGGGAAGAGGAAGAAGAAGAGGAGGAAGAAUCCGUUUCCUAUGGAUGGUGGGAGCUGUUCAGGAGCUGGUUGCUGUCCCUGGAGACGUAUUUCAGAAUUUAA
rnacentral:lncRNA from 1 species